rnacentral:tRNA from 2 species
GCGGACGUGGCGAAAUGGUAGACGCUACAGACUUAAAAUCUGUUAUCAGUAAUGGUGUGCGGGUUCGAGUCCCGCCGUCCGCACCA